UUUUGUUUUUGUUUUUCUUUGAAUAUUUUUGUGUUCUACAUGUUUAGCAUAUUUUCGUAAUCCCAACCAUCAAAAAGAAACCAAAUUUAUUAGUAAAAAACAACGGAUCCAUAUGAAACGAGAGAGAUAGAGACGAGAGAACUAAAAAUUCAUACGAAACUCAUCGGAUUUCGCCUUGGAGAGACGAGAGACGAUAGACGAGAGACAAGAGACGAGAGACGAGAGACGAGAGACGAGAGAGAACACUUCUAUUAAAAGCUCGUUUAUUUAUUAUUUUACUUACAGGCGUAGUUUAUAAUAUUUACAAAAAUAACGUCUGUUUUAAAAAAUAAAUAAGAAACUAU
rnacentral:sRNA from 1 species